rnacentral:lncRNA from 1 species
ACGAGGCUACCCGAGUUUCGUACAUGUUAAUGUUAAUUAUGAACACCAAAUCAUACAUGUCAUAUACAUUCCUAUUCACUGAAAUAACUAUCUAGACAAAUGAAUUCUGAUCACGAGUCAGAUAACAAGCACGGGGAAUUCUCAGAGGAGCAGCAACUGGGCAGAAAGGGUAUGUGAGUGGAACAGCAAGCAACAAGUGGUAACAAACAUGAGUGGGAACUGCAGGAUUUCUUUCCAUGCGCACUAACAUUGAUCAUAGGUCUAAGGAGUAAGGACUUUCCAUCAGUAUAUAUAUUACUCCUUAGUAGAAAAUGUUAAAUGUCAUUUAUACUUUACAUAAAAACAAUUUUUCCAAACAUAUAGGGACAAUGAGAGUGAAAAACAAAGAGAAGGGGAGAAACAGAAAAGCAGUAAACAGUACUCAAUAGUCAAUAAUAAUGCAGUUGGAAUUGGAGAUACUGUAUAGUCUUUGUAGUACAUUUACACAGACACACAGUCACGAGGUAAUAUGCAAGAAUAAUAUCUUUCACUUGAUCAGUAAACAAUGAAACUGAUGUCUGCAACUGCAUAAUAAUAUUCCCUACACACAUAGAUACAAAUGAUAAGCCAAAUACACAUACACAUGUAAAGAAAAUGUUCUCUUUAUUGAUUUCUGACUUCCUCAGUACAAUUCUCAAUGCACUUAACCUGUAGCACUCCAGGCCAGUAACACGAGAAACAGAAACAGAAGAAAGGGUAUUACACAAAUGUGUAAAUGUGUUGGGCUAGCUAGCUUGGUGGGAGCUUGGAUCAUCGAUCUAAUCAACAUUGAAAUAGCUCAGGAGGGAUAGAUGGAGAAGAGAAAGAUGAGUUAGGUAGCAAGGGGAAGGAACUGAAGACAAUCAUACUGAGAAAUAUUUUCAAUAGUGUGUCCAUAAUGAACACUAUAACAAAGAUAUGGACAAUUAAGUAGGGUCUUACAAGGUCAAGAAAAGGCCUUACAAGGUCAAGAAAGAAACAACAUAGGAACAAAGAAGCAAACUCAAUAUAUUUAAGGAAAAUUAAAGCUCAUAUUGGGAUAGCGCCUAAUUAAGGCCAAACUCAAUAUUUAAGAAUUUGCUUCCAAAACCAUAGUAAUAUAGCCAUAUAAAGUAGUGCAUCAUGACCCAAACUUCUUGUUCUUCAAGUGUUACGAGUAAAGUAGAUGAACAACCUAUACAUCAAAACCUGUAAAUGAAACAAAGGAAGUAAACUUAGAAUUUAGAAAUAUGAGUAGAGAUGGCAAACUGUGAUCAUCAUGAAAAUAUGAAAUACUACCAUAUAGAGAGUAAAGAAAAUUAUAUAUUAUUGCAGCAUAUUAAAAUGGACAUAGAUUUUAGCAGACAGUAUGUAAUUCACCUUCAUAAGCAUAGUUUUAUUUGCAGGUUUUCUUUUUUUUCCCCAUGAAAUAGAGGAAGAGAAGCAAGAUACAGUGGGUAAUAAGUGGGGAGAUUUCCAAGCUUUAUAUAGGGAUCAAAGCAGUGUUAGUGGGCAUAAGAUA